rnacentral:lncRNA from 1 species
UCGAUUAGAAAACCAACCUUAACAAUAUAUCUUGAUUUUGUAAAAGUACAACAGAUACAAUCUUCCUCGGAAUUUUUAGGUGGUAGAAGGCAUGAACAUAAUGGUAAGAUAGCCGGUAUUCAGGUAGUACACUAAACAAAGGGUUAACAAAGGAUUGACAAGAAUUAAAACUACUAGUCUAAGAGAAGAUAGGAAACGAGAAUUAAAAAAAAAAAAACUUAAAUUUAGCUAUUGGAUGGUGGUGUGUUUUUGUUCAAGCUAUCCAACACCCUUUUAAAGGGGCCUUGAGUGGCAUUUGAGUAAUUCUUUUUGAAUACUCCAUCAUGUCUUGUGCAAAUGUUUUGUUAGUGCACUCACUA